rnacentral:lncRNA from 1 species
CUUUUUAGCUAUAGGUAUCAUCUAAAGCAUGAUCUACUCUGAUAGUAAUUAUUGAAACUGAUAUUUGUGCUGAUACUAAUUAUAUAAUUCAAGAUCUCAAAUUCUGACUAUAUAAUUCAAGAUCUAAAAUUAAACAAAAUAAUAUGAAGAAGAGAUAUAUUGAAGGAGGAAGAAAAAAACUAAAUUAAUAUUUUAUUAAUAACAAAUAUUUAAUUAUAUUCUGGAUGACACCCUCAGCCUUAUGCAGCCAUAUCUACUGUUUCUUGUUCCUCUAAUUAAUUAAUCCAUGCUUAAUUAUAUAUAGUUAUCAUGUCAUAACAGAGCAUAAAUCCAAAGUUUUAAUUUGGAUAAUUACAUAAU